CGUGGAUAUUCUAGUACCUGCUAAGAAAUUAGAAUAAUUUCAUGGAUUGGAGGUAGAGGCUACCAAUUCGACUAAAAUAGUGGAAGAAUCUUUAGACUAAAGUCCAAGUCUUUAGGCUUAAUCAAUUCAUAAACAGAGAGGUCUUGUAUUUUUCUUUCAAUUAUGGCUAAAUAUCCGUUGCUCUAUUCACUAUUUGACAGUGACUAAUUUAUAGG
rnacentral:lncRNA from 1 species